CCAAAGGCUCUUUUAAGAGCCACCCCAAAUACUUUAAAAAGGGCCCG
rfam:Felis catus isolate Cinnamon breed Abyssinian chromosome B2, whole genome shotgun sequence.